CAAUAGCGUAUAUUAAAGUUGUUGCAGUUAAAAAGCUCGUAGUUGGAUUUCUGGUAGGAGCGACCGUGCCGAACUUGAUUGUUCGAGUAUUGUGUUGUCUUCAGCCAUCCUCGUGGAGAACUUUUCUAACAUUAACUUGUUGGGAUUGGGACCCGCGUCGUUUACUGUGAAAAAAUUAGAGUGUUUAAAGCAGGCAUUAGCUUGAAUACAUUAGCAUGGAAUAAUAAGAUAGGACUUUGGUACUAUUUUGUUGGUUUGCAUACCAAAUUAAUGAUCAACAGGAACAGUUUGAGGAUAUUCGUAUGAACAUGUCAGAGGUGAAAUUCAUGGAUUUUGAUCAGACGAACUACUGCGAAAGCAUUUAUCAAGGAUGUUUUCAUUAA
rnacentral:rRNA from 1 species